rnacentral:rRNA from 1 species
GACGGGGGUUGCAAGUGUUAUCCGGAAUCAUUGGGCGUAAAGCGUCUGUAGGUGGUUUACCAAGUCUGUUGUUAAAAAUCAGGGCUUAACCCUGAUCCGGCAACAGAAACUAGUAGGCUGGAGUACGGUAGGGGCAGAGGGAAUUCUCGGUGUAGUGGUGAAAUACGUAGAUAUCGAGAAGAACACCAAUAGCGAAAGCACUCUGCUGGGCCGAAACUGACAUUGAGAGACGAAAGCUAGGGGAGCGAAAGGG